UGGGGAAUUUUGGACAAUGGGGGAAACCCUGAUCCAGCCAUCCCGCGUGUGCGAUGAAGGCCUUCGGGUUGUAAAGCACUUUUGGCAGGAAAGAAACGUCGCGGGUUAAUACCCCGCGAAACUGACGGUACCUGCAGAAUAAGCACCGGCUAACUACGUGCCAGCAGCCGCGGUAAUACGUAGGGUGCAAGCGUUAAUCGGAAUUACUGGGCGUAAAGCGUGCGCAGGCGGUUCGGAAAGAAAGAUGUGAAAUCCCAGAGCUUAACUUUGGAACUGCAUUUUUAACUACCGGGCUAGAGUGUGUCAGAGGGAGGUGGAAUUCCGCGUGUAGCAGUGAAAUGCGUAGAUAUGCGGAGGAACACCGAUGGCGAAGGCAGCCUCCUGGGAUAACACUGACGCUCAUGCACGAAAGCGUGGGGAGCAAACAGGAUUAGAUACCCUGGUAGUCCACGCCCUAAACGAUGUCAACUAGCUGUUGGGGCCUUCGGGCCUUGGUAGCGCAGCUAACGCGUGAAGUUGACCGCCUGGGGAGUACGGUCGCAAGAUUAAAAACUUAAAUGAAUUG
rnacentral:rRNA from 1 species